rnacentral:lncRNA from 1 species
UGGUUAUAUAAAUUAAGAUCAAUAAAUCAUCAUUAAUGACUUUUUAAUUGUUUGCAUCUUAAAAGGAAGGCAUAUUGUAUGAUGAAGAACAAUGAAACAAGUGAACACCAUCCCUUUAAAGGGAAAUUGUGUGCAUCUUAUUGUAUGAUAUAACAAUAAUAGAGGCUUCACUACAUCAUCCAUUUAGAGGCUUCACUCCAUCAUCCAUUUAGAGGCUUCACUGCAGCGAAGGAAUAUUUUUCAUGUCAGAAACAUUCACAUGGUACUAAUGGUGAAGAACGAUAAAACAAAUGAAUGUCAUCCAAGUCAAGUGACAAAAUAAAUAUUCAACUAAUCUAAACAAAAGUACUGCUUAAAAAAUCUAUUUACUCGUUAAGGAUUAAUGGCAAACAUAUGGUGGACAGUCUCAAAAUACACUCAAAUAUAAUUACUACUUCCAUUGGCCUUUUAUAAUUUGGGUUUUCAGACGCAUGGAAGAGAGAUGGCAUUACUACUCCCAUUGAGACAUUAUGGUUUCAGUUAUCAAAGGAAACAAAGAGAGAACAAAAUAGAGAUGGCGUUCCAUUCUAAUCUAUGUUUUGUGAUUGGUGAACGAGUAUAUGAUUUCUAUCCACGAGUUAUGGUUCGUUUAGGUUGUUACAAUAGAAUUUAGUGGCUUCCAUGUGCAGUUGGAGCAAAAAUGAAGAAUGAACAUGAUGUUGGUGGUUUUGCUUCCAUUGUUGCUCACGCAUGUAGUAGAAGGAAAGUAGAAGUGACAUGACUUUUUAAAAGGUCAUAUGAAUCAACCAUCUCACUUUCAUAUAAAUUUGUCUUUCUUACUAGAUACAUCCCCUAAAUGAUUGAUUACUUAGAUGUAGAUUGUAGAAUACAAAUUGCAAAAUGUG